UGGGGAAUAUUGGACAAUGGGCGAAAGCCUGAUCCAGCCAUGCCGCGUGUGUGAAGAAGGCCUUUUGGUUGUAAAGCACUUUAAGUGGGGAGGAAAAGCUUGUGGUUAAUACCCAUAAGCCCUGACGUUACCCACAGAAUAAGCACCGGCUAACUCUGUGCCGGCAGCCGCGGUAAUACAGAGGGUGCAAGCGUUAAUCGGAAUUACUGGGCGUAAAGCGCGCGUAGGUGGUUAUUUAAGUCAGAUGUGAAAGCCCCGGGCUUAACCUGGGAACUGCAUCUGAUACUGGAUAACUAGAGUAGGUGAGAGGGGAGUAGAAUUCCAGGUGUAGCGGUGAAAUGCGUAGAGAUCUGGAGGAAUACCGAUGGCGAAGGCAGCUCCCUGGCAUCAUACUGACACUGAGGUGCGAAAGCGUGGGUAGCAAACAGGAUUAGAUACCCUGGUAGUCCACGCCGUAAACGAUGUCUACCAGUCGUUGGGUCUUUUAAAGACUUAGUGACGCAGUUAACGCAAUAAGUAGACCGCCUGGGGAGUACGGCCGCAAGGUUA
rnacentral:rRNA from 1 species